rnacentral:rRNA from 1 species
UACGGAGGAUGCAAGCGUUAUCCGGAAUGAUUGGGCGUAAAGGGUCCGCAGGUGGCAGUGUAAGUCUGCUGUCAAAGAAUGAGGCUAAACCUUAUCAAGGCAGUGGAAACUACACAGCUAGAGUACGGUCGGGGUAGAAGGAAUUCCUGGUGUAGCGGUGAAAUGCGUAGAGAUCAGGAAGAACACCGGUGGCGAAAGCGUUCUGCUAGACCUGUACUGACACUGAGGGACGAAAGCUAGGGGAGCGAAUGGG